UCUACCUUAUAAUCAAUAUUCCAGAGUUUUGAUCACAUAGUGAAAACCCAUCACAGGAAAAAUUGUGUCAUUCUUUCUUUUGAUAUUUUUCUGUUCACAUGCCAAACACUGCUGUGAAGUCUUCCCAAGGGAAUUCUGUUUCAGCUCCAAAAAGUUGUUAACAUAAGGCUGAGCCUGUACUGUGACCUUAUUAUGACAGCUUGUUCAAAACUACAAAAGAUAAAGGAUAUGAAAAAGUUUAGAAACUGUGUCUGUUACAUGCACACAUGUUCUCCACAAUAUGUUAACUUUGGAAAUGGUGGAGGAUAUAGUCCUAGAGGAAAAACAAAAGCAGUGAACCACUUCUGAUUCUUCUCAGCCAUUUCAAUAAUCAGCAGCUCCCCAGAGUCCAAAAUAAAUUUGUUAAAAUGCAGGGAUGAUAAUUAUUCAGGUAGGAUUUCAUAGAGACUCUUCAGAUGAAUCCUUUAAACAUAUUUAACCACUUGAUUCAAAUUAUUCAAUGUCUCAGAUUAUCUAAGUGUUAGUAUGGAAUUCUCUCCACCUAGGAAGAUGAAACAUCUCCUGUGUGACUCCAUCUUCUGCUGUGGCUUGCAGAAUUCAAUGGUGGGCAUAGAAUAUGUAUGUACUGUAAUAUUAAAAUAAGAAGAUAGACCCAUAAUAAUAUGAAACCUUUAUAAUGUUUUAUAUUAAAAUUAUAUAAAUGUUAUUUAAAGUGGUGAAAAGUAAGAAACAAUCCAAAUACCCAACAAUGGAAAAUUAUGAUGUAAACUAUGGCAUAUUCAUUUCAGGAAAUGUUAACAGUUGCUAGAAAUGACAUUAAUAAAAGUUUAUAAUACCACAAGGAUACAUUUAUAAUAUAAUAAAAAAGCAAGCCUGAAGUUGCAUAUUAUUAAGGUCACAGCUUUAUAAAUAAAAGGUAUAUAAGAAAAGCAGAGAUUGAUUUCCUGAUCACAUUUUCCUUUUAAGUUUUUCAGGUGCUUCAUUUCAGCUCAAAUGUAACCACUUGCUAAAAGUAACACAUUCUCCAGGUCUAAAGAUCCUGCUCUGAUUUAGUGUAUCCCUUCUUGACUCCAGAGUAGGUUUAUGGGGUCUUAGAUAUUUUGAUUAAAAGAUUUCAUUUGUGAGCUAGAAUAUUACUUCUUUUGUAUCAGCUUCAAUCCUCUUUAACAGCAGUUUUGCCAAUAUUUCCUUGUUUAAAAAUAAAACCAAAUGAUAACAAAAAGAAAAAAAUUUUAGAUGUAAUGCAGAUAUUUUUAGUUUUUCUAAUUUUCCAGUGUUCCCAGGUGUUCUUUAAUGAGUAUGCAUUUUUAUCAUACAACUUAUAAAAUAUUUAUGAAACCAUACUUGAGGAGCAGCUUGUCAAAAUACAUUUAUGAUGAAGAUGUCUAUGUCUACAAUCAAACAAUUUCAUUCCUAGCCUCUGACUUCCAGGAACAUGGCUCAUUUGGAUGAAAAAAAAGAAAAAAAAAUGACAUACCAACCUACUAAUGUUAUGUUUUGGAAUAUCCCCGAUGGAGAUUGUCACGUAUGAAGAUUUAACUCCUCAAAGUUAGCCUCCCAGGAGUCAACUGAAAGCAGCAAGUUUAUUUAUGCCGGCUCCUUCUAUGUACCAGGCUUUGUCAAAGACCAGUUGAAUCAAGUAAAAUAAUUUCUUAAUAAUUAAAGAACACCAUAAAUUAUAAAAAGCACUAUUUGCUUAAAAACUUUUUAGGUAAUUUAUACUUAAUAAAAGUCACACAAUUUCAAAACUGUUAAAACAUCUGUUUCAAAUACAGGAAGAUUUCAGUUCCCAGA